GGGGAUUUAGCUCAGCGGUAGAGCGUUUGCCUAGCAAGCGCAAGGCCCUGGGUUCGGUCCCCAGCUCUG
rnacentral:tRNA from 1 species